rnacentral:rRNA from 1 species
AGUGAACGCUGGCGGCGUGCUUAACACAUGCAAGUCGAACGGAUGAAAUAAGCUUGCUUAUUUCGUUAGUGGCGCACGGGUGAGUAAUGUAUAGCUAACCUGCCCUGUAGUGGGGGACAACAGUUGGAAACGACUGCUAAUACCCCAUACUCCUUCUUAUCUUAAGAUAAGUUGGGAAAGAUUUAUUGCUAAAGGAUGGGGCUUUAUGGUAUCAGCUAGUUGGUGGGGUAACGGCCUACCAAGGCGAUGACGCCUACCUGGUCUGAGAGGAUGAUCAGGCACACUGGGACUGAGACACGGUCCAGACUCCUACGGGAGGCAGCAGUGGGGAAUAUUGCACAAUGGAGGAAACUCUGAUGCAGCAACGCCGCGUGGAGGAUGACGCAUUUCGGUGUGUAAACUCCUUUUAUAAGGGAAGAUAAUGACGGUACCUUAUGAAUAAGCACCGGCUAACUCCGUGCCAGCCGCCGCGGUAAAAC